rnacentral:rRNA from 1 species
GACGAACGCUGGCGGCGUGCCUAAUACAUGCAAGUAGAACGCUGAAGCUUGGUGCUUGCACCGAGCGGCUGAGUUGCGAACGGGUGAGUAACGCGUAGGUAACCUGCCUGGUAGCGGGGGAUAACUAUUGGAAACGAUAGCUAAUACCGCAUAACAGUAGAUAUCGCAUGAUAGCUACUUGAAAGGUGCAAAUGCACCACUACCAGAUGGACCUGCGUUGUAUUAGCUAGUUGGUGAGGUAACGGCUCACCAAGGCAACGAUACAUAGCCGACCUGAGAGGGUGCUCGGCCACACUGGGACUGAGACACGGCCCAGACUCCUACGGGAGGCAGCAGUAGGGAAUCUUCGGCAAUGGACGGAAGUCUGACCGAGCAACGCCGCGUGAGUGAAGAAGGUUUUCGGAUCGUAAAGCUCUGUUGUAAGAGAAGAACGAGUGUGAGAGUGGAAAGUUCACACUGUGACGGUAUCUUACCAGAAAGGGACGGCUAACUACGUG